UGCCGCUGUGUUUAGAGUCCACACUGGCGUCUGGCAGUGUCUUUAAUCUUCAGCCAGCAGUAAGAAAUACGUUUUACAAUGAAUGCAACAAAGUCUCACAAAACCUUCUUUAAUUUUAGUUCUUUUUAAUCAUCAUGAACUCUUAAUAUCUCGAUGACCUAUUAAUAGGUUGUAACCUGUAGAAUUGGUUCUGCAAGGCUCUUCCCUGUUUGCUCCAACUGUUCUCAGCCCAAGCUGGCCUAACUUCCUAGGCUGCCAAGGGACGACCUUGAACUUCAGUACCUCCCGGCUCCACCUUCAACGGGAAGGACCUCACAGCUGACCCUCCUGCUGAGGCUGUCUGGAUUCAGUUGUUAGGAUUUAUUUCUACUCCUUUGACCCGGAGAUGGACCCCGGACCGGCAGAAGCAAUGAGUACUUGUUUGUGUUGGUUUAAGGUACAGGGAAUCCUGGACUGAAGAAUGGUUUGCUCGUUCAGGCCGCACCACAGAAACAUAGUCAACCAUAACAAGAUCUCACGACCUAUGGUUCAGUCUUGUUACCGAGCGUGGCGUCCUAGUCUCAGUCCUGCAUAGCUUAUUUCCUGAGAGUUCAUUCUAGAGCCUCCAGUGAAGGAAUCAGUGUCUUCAGGAUGAAAAGACUCGGACAGGAAGUCACGAACCCCAGGCUGGCCUUGAACUUGUUAUGAAGGUGAGCAUGACCUUGAACUUCUGAUCCUCCUGCUUCCACUUCUACGACGUUGGAAUUAGAGGUGUGAGCCGCCACACCGAGUUAACUUGGUGCUGUGUCUGGAAUCCAGGGCUUUAUCCGUCCAUGCAAGGCAAGCAUUAGACCAGCUGAGUCACAGCCCCAGCACCCGGCCGAUUUUUUAAAAUUUAUUUAUUUUAUUUUCUGUGCAUUGGCGUUUUGCCUGCGUGUCUGUCUGUGUGAGGGUGUUGGAUCCUGGAGUUACACAGACAGUUGUGAGCUGCCGUGUGGGUGCUGGGAGUUGAACCCAGUCUUCUGGAAGAGAAGUCAGUGCUCUCCACUGUUAAGUCAUCUCUCCAGCAGCCCCCUCCCAGGCUGAUUUUUUAUUUAAGUGUUAAGAGCUGAGUGAAAUCAGAGCAAGAGAUUUUUUUGAUUUUCAUAGAUUUCCAUUUAUUAGUUUAAAUAAUAAUUUUAUUAUUAAUAAUUAAUACUUUCACAGCAUUAAUGAUAGCAAACAUAUCUAAGUUAUGGUUCUAAAUUAGGUGACUUCAGUGAAAACUUUUAAUAAUGUUAUAAUAUUUUUAUUCAAUAAUAGUACAUGUUUCACAAUUUCAAUAUAAGUAAUUUAAUUGCUGCACGCUAGUAUACAGAAAUGAUAAACAAUAAUAAUAACAAUGUAAUAAUCAUAAGGUACCUAUAUGAUCUAAGAGUAAAUAAAAUUCAUUUUCAAGUAGAGUGGAAAGGAUAUAACCUAACAAGAAAUUAAAUGAUGGUGAUUCUGUCCCUGUGAACUGGUGUACAGUUAGUGUCUUUAAGUCUAAAGUAAUUUAAGGAAAUUGUCGUUUGAGGCCAAGUGGAGCAGCAUCACACCAUGCUGUACAAAUUCGUAUUUAAUCCUGGAGAUCUAUGUUGCCAAAAAAAAAAAAAAAAACCACUGGUAAGCAAUUAUUUACUGAGGAGAACGAGCAAAGGAAUUCAGUUAAACAUCUACCACCAUGUUGGUAACUUGCCAAGCCCUUUGUUGUUAUUGUAGCAAAUUCAAAUGAGUAAUAUGUACGAGAAAUAUCAGAUUGAAAAUGAGAAAUCAUUAUAUGAAGUGUUCUGUGUUCUGAGUUAAUAAUUUACCUACUGUUUUCCAGCAGGAACUUUGGUGACAUGUUUCUUCACUCUUACAAGAACAGAACGCUACAUCUUACAUUUUCUGACAUAUGAGCAGUCCAAAACUUUGUUUCAUCCCAGAGGACCGGGGAUGGAUUGCCAGUGCCCACGUGUCAAGUCACAACUGUCCGUAAUUUUAGUUCCAGAAAAAUCUGGUACACCCUUCUGGCCUCCACAGGCACCAGGUACAUACGUGCUGUGCAGACAUGCAUUCAGGCAAAACACCAAUGCACAUAAAAUAAAGGCUAGAAAUAAAAACAAUUAAGAAAGAAGGAACAAGAGGGCUGGUCGUGGCUUUCUACCUCAAGCAGGGUUUAAAUUCAGCUUAUAGGGUGAGCAUGUGGCUCCGUGGCUCCUGGUUCCAUCCCCUUGAACCAGGGGAAUUGUUUCCAGGAUGGAAGAGAAGUGACAGCCAGUCUUGGAGCCUCCAUUGACCUAAACACAGUUCAUGUAGCCAGAAGCUGUCAAAAUUGGACAAUGUAACGUUCUUGUAAGACAACUGUUGUAAGAUAACUGACUCAGAUAUUCAGCAGGGGGCUGGCAUUUCUAACCAGUGACCCACAGUGGGCAGGCAAACUGAUGCAGAAGGGCAGCUGCACUCACUGGCACUGGGAUCGUUCUGGCCUAAUGCAGGGAGAAUUCUAUAGGUUUCCAUUCCUGCUCUGAGAGACUGCCCUGGAGCUCAGCCGCAGAGCUCAAGAUAUCUGCCGUGGUAAAGGUAGACAUACAUACAGAGAUACUCGGUAUACAUACACACAGAGCCUGACUCUGGAGAUGGAGCUUGAAGCCCUGCUUCUUUGGAUAAUUUUUGCAUAACUGAGAAAGUGAACGUUCCCUGGAACUCGAAUUUCCUGAUUGUCCAAGGGAGAGGAUGGCAGCUGUGUGAAUCAACCAGGACACUGAGCGCAUGCUGCAAGAUUUUGAAAUGUCAUCUCACAUUCUCCUCUCAGAAAGUUAGACGUCUUAAACGGCCUGCCCAAGAGUUCAGCCAACACCAGAGCAGGCGCUUGGUAUGUGUGCUUGCUUUGGCUCUCGGCAAGCAGGUGAGACGCUGGGAACUGGCUCCGUUCCAUCUGGGAAUUCCACAGCCAGGUGGGUCUGCUCUCCAAGCCUGACUUGAAUGUGUGCACCAGUCCCAGAGGAACUAACAACUUGGGGAUGACUCACCCUGGCUCAUUGCAGCAGGAGACCCCUCCUCCCUGCCACUUGGGCCAAGGCCUGGUUGCUCAGCAACGAGACAUAAUAUAUAUAAAUAAAAUGCAGC